AUUGAACGCUGGCGGCAGGCUCAACACAUGCAAGUCGAACGAGUGGCGGACGGGUGAGUAAUGCUUGGGAAUCUGGCUUAUGGAGGGGGAUAACGACGGGAAACUGUCGCCAAUACCGCGCACCAAAGGAUGAGCCCAAGUGGGAUUAGGUAGGUGGUGAGGUAAAGGCCUACCAAGCUGACGAUCUCUAGCUGGUCUGAGAGGAUGACCAGCCACACCGGGACUGAGGGACGGCCCGGACUCCUACGGGAGGCAGCAGUGGGUAGUAUUGCGCAAUGGGGUCAACCCUAACGCAGCCAUGCCGCGUGAGUGAGUAAGGCCUUCGGGUUGUAAAGUUCUUUCGGUAUUGGGGCUUUAAAUACAGAAGAAGCACCGGCUAACUCCGUGCCAGCAGCCGCGGUAAUAC
rnacentral:rRNA from 1 species